GACGAACGCUGGCGGCGUGCUUAACACAUGCAAGUCGAGCGGAAAGGCCACUUCGGUGGUACUCGAGCGGCGAACGGGUGAGUAACACGUGAGUAAUCUGCCCCUGGCUUUGGGAUAGCCACCGGAAACGGUGAUUAAUACCGGAUACGACCACUUCUCGCAUGGGAUGGUGGUGGAAAGUUUUUUCGGCCAGGGAUGUGCUCGCGGCCUAUCAGCUUGAUGGUGAGGUAAUGGCUUACCAUGGCUUCGACGGGUAGCCGGCCUGAGAGGGUGACCGGUCAGACUUGGACUGAGACACGGCGCAGACUCCUACGGGAGGCAGCAGUGGGGAAUAUUGGACAAUGGGCGGAAGCCUGAUCCAGCAACGCCGCGUGAGGGAUGACGGCCUUCGGGUUGUAAACCUCUUUCAGCAGGGACGAAGCGCAAGUGACGGUACCUGCAGAAGAAGCACCGGCCAACUACGUGCCAGCCGCCGCCGUAA
rnacentral:rRNA from 1 species